rnacentral:misc_RNA from 1 species
ACUUAAUAUAAUUAAUUUAUGCUAUUAUUUUUAUUUAAUUUGUCAUUAUUCAUAGAUCACAAAUUCUCAUAUUCAUUAUUGCAACAUGCAAAAAAAGAGGCAAACGCAAAUAUGGGCAAGGAAAUAUCAAAUACAGAACAAAACAGAGAAAAGAAUAUAACUAUUACAUAACAUUUGUGUUAUAUCACAUUUAUAUUAUUUGUUUGGAAAGAUCUUACUGAUCUGUUGCUGACCAUAAUAAAAAGUCAGGUAACAAUAGGAAGCAAUGGGAAUAUUAUGAGCAUUCCAUAAUUAUUCAUUGAAUGUUCUAAAUCGAAGAGAAAUAAAUUUCUUAUUGUAAGUAAUGCACGAAAUAUUCGGUACAAAACCAUGGAUAGAACCAUUAUCAACAGCUGGAUCAGAUGUCAAUAUCACAAAUAGUGAUACAGAAAAUGUAGAUCCUACAGUACCUAAGAGACGAAAAAAGAACCAUAUAAUCGAAGACUAUUUGGAUCAAAAUAUAAAACUGAAAGUGGAAAAAGAAAGAAAUGCUCAGAAAAGACACGAGGAAAAAAUGGCCCGCUCAGAUAAAAUUGAAGACAUAUUGUUAGAUAAAUCAGAAAAAUAGUAUAGAUAUCGUUAAUAUAAUAUAUCGUUGAUAUUCUAUAAUUCUAUUAUAUUAUAAUUUUAUUUGAUCGUUAUAACUUGAAUGAUAUUAGUAUUUUGCGUUUUUCUGAGUUUAUAUAAUUUUUGUUUUUGGGUUUAUAUGUAAUGUUUGCUUUCCAAUUUUGCAAAAUUUUUUGUUUUCUAUCUAAAGAUAUUAGUUGUAUGAAAUUGUGAUUAGUGAACUUUAAGUUUAUGAUAAAUAAUAAAUACUAUUAUUGCAAAAAAAGCACAAACAUUGUAAAGACUGUUAGAAGUAAUAGUAAAAAUAGACUAAUAUUCUUCGUUUUUA